rnacentral:rRNA from 1 species
UACGUAGGGGGCAAGCGUUGUCCGGAAUCAUUGGGCGUAAAGAGCGUGUAGGCGGCCAGAUAAGUCCGCUGUGAAAACUCGAGGCUCAACUUCGAGCUGUCGGUGGAAACCAUCUGGCUAGAGUCCGGAAGAGGAGAGUGGAAUUCCUGGUGUAGCGGUGAAAUGCGCAGAUAUCAGGAAGAACACCUAUGGCGAAGGCAGCUCUCUGGGACGGUACUGACGCUGAGACGCGAAAGCGUGGGGAGCGAACAGG